rnacentral:tRNA from 1 species
GCGGGUGUGGUUCAAUGGCAGAACGCAAGCUUCCCAAGCUCGAAACGAGGGUUCGAUUCCCUUCACCCGCUCCA